GAUGCCAGGGUCAAAAGUUCAAAAAGCCGUUCAUGCUUGCAUGAUAAGGCUUUUGAACUUGGGACCCGCCAAACAUGAGAAAGCAGCGAUUUACGCAGUAAAUCAGCGGAUUUCGAAUGUUUAUAGAAUUGCGAGAGUUGCUUUGCAGCGGAGCAAUUCGUAGGCAUC
rnacentral:sRNA from 1 species